GUGCCAGCAGCCGCGGUAAUACGGAGGGUGCGAGCGUUAAUCGGAAUUACUGGGCGUAAAGGGCGCGUAGGCGGUCGCGCAAGUCGGGUGUGAAAGCCCCGGGCUCAACCUGGGAAUUGCAUUCGAUACUGCGUAACUAGAGUCUGGUAGAGGGAAGCGGAAUUCCGCAUGUAGCGGUGAAAUGCGUAGAUAUGCGGAGGAACACCAGUGGCGAAGGCGGCUUCCUGGACCAAGACUGACGCCGAGGCGCGAAAGCGUGGGGAGCAAACAGGAUUAGAUACCCUGGUAGUCCACGCCCUAAACGAUGAGGACUAGACGUUGGGGGGAUAAAACCCUUUAGUGUCGCAGCUAACGCGUGAAGUCCUCCGCCUGGGGAGUACGGCCGCAAGGUCGAAACUCAAAGGAAUUGGCGG
rnacentral:rRNA from 1 species